GACGAACGCUGGCGGCGUGCUUAACACAUGCAAGUCGAACGGAAAGGCCCUGCUUUUGUGGGGUGCUCGAGUGGCGAACGGGUGAGUAACACGUGAGUAACCUGCCCUUGACUUUGGGAUAACUUCAGGAAACUGGGGCUAAUACCGGAUAGGUGCUCCGGCUGCAUGGUGGGGGUUGGAAAGUUGCGGCGGUUGGGGAUGGACUCGCGGCUGAGCAGCUUGUUGGUGGGGUAGUGGAUUACCAAGGCUUUGACGGGUAGCCGGCCUGAGAGGGUGACCGGCCAACUGGCGACAGAGCUACGGCACAGAGUCGUACGGGAGGCAGCAGUGGGGAAGAUUGCACGAUGGGCGGAAGCCGGAUGAAGCAUCGACGCGUGCGGGAUGUCGGCCUCCGGGGUGAAAGCCGCAGUCGCGUGCGACGAAGCGUGAGUGACGGUAACGGGUAAAGAAGCACCGGCUAACUACGUG
rnacentral:rRNA from 1 species